AUUCCGUGAUGAGGGAACUUUCGUAAUAAUUCUUUGUACCUUUCUCAUGCCCAUACAAGGACUCAUCAUCCAUUUGUUGGAAAGUAGUGAUCUCGUUUCUCAACUU
rnacentral:snoRNA from 1 species